ensembl:lncRNA
AGCAUAGUUCCUGGGGGGAACUGUGUGUGUGAUGUAGAAAAGUCCUGGGGGGAACUGUGUGUGGGAUGUAGAAAAGUCCUGGGGGGAACUGUGUGUGGGAUGUAGAAAAUCCUGGGGGGGAACUGUGUGUGUGAUGUAGAAAAGUCCUGGGUGGAACUGUGUGUGUGAUGUAGAAAAGUCCUGGGGGAACUGUUGUGUGAUAUAGCAAAGUCCUGGGGGAACCGUGUGUGAUAUAGCAAAGUCCUGUGGGGAACCGUGUGUGAUAUAGCAAAGUCCUGUGGGGAACCGUGUGAUAUAGCAAAGUCCUGUGGGGAACCGUGUGUGAUAUAGCAAAGUCCUGGGGGGAACCAUGUGUGAUAUAGCAAAGUCCUGGGGGAACCGUGUGUGAUGUAGCAAAGUCCUGGGGGGAACCGUGUGUGUGAUAUAGCAAAAGGACCCCUUGGAGCUGUGCCGUGCUGGGUAAGCCCUGUGUUGUCUUUGACUGCCCCUGUUUGUACAUGAGAGUUCAACGGGUUUAACUCUAGCUAGUUAUGAAAACCUUCCCCACUACUCUACUCCCCAUAGCAGCACAUACAUGCACGCACACAUGCGCGCACUCACACACACACACACACACACACACACA